AACUAAAGCUAGGGGUGCCUGAGCAACCAGGCUGAGAUUACACCCUGAGAACCUGAGACUGGUUAAGACCAGCGGAGGGAAGCGGUUUAUUAAUAAG
rnacentral:ncRNA from 2 species